rnacentral:misc_RNA from 1 species
AUAAAGGGCAAUGUCCCUUGAAACUCAGAUGGCAACAUAUAGAAUACAAGGCAGCGGCCUAAAAACAUGCUUAAAUGAACAAAUGGAGAAAUUAUUCUGCUCUGAUGAUGGGAAGUUAAUAUUAUUAUCAUCUAUAAAAGACCAGGGUUUUGGAUUCAAUUGAUAAAAAGGCAAUCAACCUUUUCCCCGCAUAAUCCCAGCUGUGGCACUGGUCCAUGUUACCAGAAGUUCCUGGAGAUUAGCCAUGGAUAGGGGCG